rnacentral:rRNA from 1 species
CAGGGAAUCUUCGGCAAUGGACGAAAGUCUGACCGAGCAACGCCGCGGGAGUGAAGAAGGUUUUCGGAUCGUAAAACUCUGUUGUUAGAGAAGAACAAGGACGUUAGUAACUGAACGUCCCCUGACGGUAUCUAACCAGAAAGCCACGGCUAACUACGUGCCAGCAGCCGCGGUAAUACGUAGGUGGCAAGCGUUGUCCGGCUUCAUUGGGCGUAAAGCGAGCGCAGGCGGUUUCUUAAGUCUGAUGUGAAAGGCCCCGGCUCAACCGGGGAGGGUCAUUGGAAACUGGGAGACUUGAGUGCAGAGGAGGAGGGUGUAAUUCGAUGAGUAGCGGUGAAAUGCGUAGAUGGAUGGAGGAACACCAGUGGCGAAGGCGGCUCUCUGGUCUGUAACUGACGCUGAGGGUCGAAAGCGUGGGGAGCAAACAGG